CGGGGGUAUAAACGAAACAAGAUUGGACAUGAACUGAUCGUUGUUGAAGCUGGAUUAGGAGGGAAUUCAUUACAGUCUUUAUCUUUGUCUGUUUGCAAUGUUCGUAAUAAAAAAUUAAAAAAUAAUGAAUACGCAAGCAUAACAGAAAAACUAUGACCAGCUCUUAAUUUCAAUCUUACUACUUCAGAGAGUGGAAGUGGCUGUCUCUCCUAUUACCUAAUCAUUAAACCGGACGCUCUUCGGUCCCGAUACCGGUAAAACUUCAUGCAGGUCGAGUUUGAAGUCCUCUCACCUCCAGCACCGCGGAAGAGGAGCGAUGAGAACAGAAAGCGGAAGGGGGGCAAGCACAGAGCUACAGGCUCCUCAACAAGAUUGCUCAUCAGACAGGAAGGGGUCUGCGAAAGAGGGCCAGAGGUCGCUUUUUGCUUCCUCUAAAGAAAAACACAGUUUCUUCCGGGGCCCCCAGGGUCCUCUGAAUCCCGGGUUAGGGACUUCUAAAUCCGGAGCGCAGUGUGAGGAGGAAAACAAAGAUCCUUGACGCUGAAGAAGCCACACUCACCUGAAUGAAUCCGGACCUGAAAACAGAAGACACAGACUCGGGAAAGAAAGCUCAGUAUCCAAAAUGGCGGCUAACAAGUUCUCAGCGCAGUGAGCACGGGCGGAGGGAUCCGUGGGGCCGAGCUAGCCACGCCCUCUUUCCAGGGACUGGCUGCGCUCCCUCCGCUCGGGACUCACGCCCCGAGGACGUCUGGGCUCCCCCGCCCAGCUUCCUUCGGAGCUGACGCGGCCGGGGACUACUUCCAGCGGCGGAGGCACGGACGGCAGCGGAAACACACACGUCACGUCCCCAGAGUCACCUGCUGGGACGCUCCUUGUAUUUCGCUGGUGUUGCCCGGGGUGCAGGGAGGCUGGCGGAGGAGGCUUGUUUUCCGAGUCCGCGCCCAGUGCCAUGUGCAGCGUUGUUCCAGUCUCUGGAAAAACCGGCCUCAGCACCGCCUUCCAAACACCCUGAGUUAGUCUCUGAUAUUUGCUCUCGUCCCUCGCUCGACUCCACUCGCCAUGGAGGCUUCCCUCCUGCGUUUCGGUUUCUUUCAUCAAAUGACCUGCUGAGCAGGAUUCCACCCUCUCUGGCAGCACACCGCUCUUUAUCCGACUCUAAGCCCUCCUCCCUUAGGCCACCCACCCUGUCUCCUAACCACUCUGAAUA
rnacentral:lncRNA from 1 species